GACGGAAGGUGCAAGCGUUGCUCGGAAUCACUGGGCGUAAAGGGCGCGUAGGCGGCCUUCUAAGUCGAACGUGAAAUCCCCGGGCUCAACCCGGGAACUGCGUCCGAUACUGGGAGGCUUGAAUCCGGGAGAGGGAUGUGGAAUUCCAGGUGUAGCGGUGAAAUGCGUAGAUAUCUGGAGGAACACCGGGUGGCGAAGGCGGCAUCCUGGACCGGUAUUGACGCUGAGGCGCGGAAAGCCAGGGGAGCAAAAGGGG
rnacentral:rRNA from 1 species